GACGAACGCUGGCGGCGUGCUUAACACAUGCAAGUCGAACGGAGCGAAUGAAAGCUUGCUUUUAUGAGCUUAGUGGCAAACGGGUGAGUAACACGUAGACAACCUGCCGAUCAGAUGGGGACAACAUUCCGAAAGGAAUGCUAAUACCGAAUGAAGUGUGGGGGAGGCAUCUUCCCUACAUGAAAGAUGGCCUCUAUUUAUAAGCUAUCACUGAUCGAUGGGUCUGCGUCUGAUUAGCUAGUAGGUAAGGUAACGGCUUACCUAGGCGACGAUCAGUAGCCGGUCUGAGAGGAUGAACGGCCACAUUGGGACUGAGACACGGCCCAGACUCCUACGGGAGGCAGCAGUGGGGAAUCUUCCGCAAUGGGCGCAAGCCUGACGGAGCAACGCCGCGUGAGUGAAGAAGGUCUUCGGAUCGUAAAGCUCUGUUGAAGGGGACGAACAUACAUAAGUGAAUAAGCUUA
rnacentral:rRNA from 1 species